AGAUGCGAGGGGCAAUCUGGCUGUGACAUCUGUCACCCUGAUGAUCUCCAGGGUUGAUUCAGCUGAUAUGGCUGGCUAGGCUGGUGUCCUCUUCCUCCCACAAUGCUCCAUGUGGGUCCCUCCUGAAGCUGUGCACUGGGCCAAAGAAGAAGAUCACCCCCAACUGAGGAAGUCAAUUCCUCAGUUAAGGGCAUAUGAGUACUGCGCCCUCCUGCUAGAACCUCCUAACAAGAUCUCAGGGUCCAUGUCUUGAUUCUAUAUGACUAUUAUAAAAAGUGAUGCAAUAUAAUAAGGGUAUAAAUUUGUUUGAUGUAAUUUUUCAUCUCCU
rnacentral:snRNA from 1 species